rnacentral:rRNA from 1 species
CCCUUAGAUGUCCGGGGCCGCACGCGCGCUACACUGAAGGAAUCAGCGUGGCUUUCUCCCUGACCCGAAAGGGUUGGGAAACCCGUUGAAUCUCCUUCGUGAUAGGGAUUGGGGCUUGAAAUUGUUCCCCAUGAACGAGGAAUUCCCAGUAAGCGCGAGUCUUAAGCUCGCGUUGAUUACGUCCCUGCCCUUUGUACACACCGCCCGUCGCUACUACCGAUUGAACGGUUUAGUGAGGGCCUCGGAUUGGUCUCGGCCCGCUCUUUACCGGGCGGCGCCGUUGGUCGAGAAGACGCUCGAACUUGAUCGUUUAGAGGAAGUAAAAGUCGUAACA